rnacentral:rRNA from 1 species
AGAGUUUGAUCAUGGCUCAGAUUGAACGCUGGCGGCAGGCCUAACACAUGCAAGUCGAACGGUAACAGGAAGCAGCUUGCUGCUUCGCUGACGAGUGGCGGACGGGUGAGUAAUGUCUGGGAAACUGCCUGAUGGAGGGGGAUAACUACUGGAAACGGUAGCUAAUACCGCAUAACGUCGCAAGACCAAAGAGGGGGACCUUCGGGCCUCUUGCCAUCGGAUGUGCCCAGAUGGGAUUAGCUAGUAGGUGGGGUAACGGCUCACCUAGGCGACGAUCCCUAGCUGGUCUGAGAGGAUGACCAGCCACACUGGAACUGAGACACGGUCCAGACUCCUACGGGAGGCAGCAGUGGGGAAUAUUGCACAAUGGGCGCAAGCCUGAUGCAGCCAUGCCGCGUGUAUGAAGAAGGCCUUCGGGUUGUAAAGUACUUUCAGCGGGGAGGAAGGCGAUAAGGUUAAUAACCUUGUCGAUUGACGUUACCCGCAGAAGAAGCACCGGCUAACUCCGUGCCAGCAGCCGCGGUAAUAC